AGUGGCGAACGGGUGAGUAACACGUGAGUAACCUGCCCUUGACUCUGGGAUAAGCACUGGAAACGGUGUCUAAUACCGGAUAUUUCAACUGACCGCAUGGUCUGGUUGUGGAAAGAAUUUUGGUCAAGGAUGGACUCGCGGCCUAUCAGGUAGUUGGUGAGGUAAUGGCUCACCAAGCCUACGACGGGUAGCCGGCCUGAGAGGGUGACCGGCCACACUGGGACUGAGACACGGCCCAGACUCCUACGGGAGGCAGCAGUGGGGAAUAUUGCACAAUGGGCGAAAGCCUGAUGCAGCAACGCCGCGUGAGGGACGACGGCCUUCGGGUUGUAAACCUCUUUUAGUAGGGAAGAAGCGAAAGUGACGGUACCUGCAGAAAAAGCACCGGCUAACUACGUGCCAGCAGCCGCGGUAAUACGUAGGGUGCAAGCGUUGUCCGGAAUUAUUGGGCGUAAAGAGCUCGUAGGCGGUUUGUCGCGUCUGCUGUGAAAACUGGAGGCUCAACCUCCAGCCUGCAGUGGGUACGGGCAGACUAGAGUGCGGUAGGGGAGAUUGGAAUUCCUGGUGUAGCGGUGGAAUGCGCAGAUAUCAGGAGGAACACCGAUGGCGAAGGCAGAUCUCUGGGCCGUAACUGACGCUGAGGAGCGAAAGCAUGGGGAGCGAACAGGAUUAGAUACCCUGGUAGUCCAUGCCGUAAACGUUGGGAACUAGAUGUGGGGGCCAUUCCACGGUCUCCGUGUCGCAGCUAACGCAUUAAGUUCCCCGCCUGGGGAGUACGGCCGCAAGGCUAAAACUCAAAGGAAUUGACGGGGGCCCGCACAAGCGGCGGAGCAUGCGGAUUAAUUCGAUGCAACGCGAAGAACCUUACCNAGGCUUGACAUAU
rnacentral:rRNA from 1 species